rnacentral:rRNA from 1 species
GUCGAUUUGGGGAUUGGGGUUUAGCCCUGGUGCCCNAAGCUAACGUGAU